CAGUGGGCUGCGCGCGCAGCACCUUGCAGACCCGGAAGUGGUUCCUGUGGAGUGGAGGUCACAGUGCCGCGCAUUGACUGCUGAAGACUCACUGCCUGAGGAAGAGGUCCAGAAGUGAAGGAAAAGGAGUCAGUAAUGGCUUUUGCUCAGAUAGUUGCAGUUCAGUGAGAUUUUCCUUGUGAUUCACACAGAAGCCUCUGUCAAGUCUUCCAUCCUCUCUGCAACGGCACUCAAAGUCACGCAUA